UCCAUUGCUCAGUUGGUAGAGCACAAGGCUCUUAACCUUGAGGUCGUGGGUUCAAGCCCUAUGAUGGAG
rnacentral:tRNA from 1 species